CUGUGGUGAAGAGUAAGAUCUUGUCUCCUAGUAAUGCACGGAAGAGGCCGGCCAGGUGUUUCAUGUACUUGAAGUCACAGGCCUUGUAGCUACCGUACUCAUUCUCCACCUGCCAGGAGAAAGGAAGAAGAGCCCAGAGAAAUGGAUAUAUCUUCGGCAGCAAGACCUCGAACCAGGAGUCCACAGCAGCAAGGAAGGCUAAAGGAAGGAGUAGUGUGUUCUGCUUUUUGGGGGACAUGACCUUUACAGCUCACGCCUCUUCCAGCAUCCCUGAUAGAUCCAAGGAGGCUCAUCCAGGCGCAUAUGAAACCACAUUUAUUCACUCAACAAAUAUUCAUGGGAGCUGAUUAUGCUUCAAGUACUGUUCUAGAUGUAUAGAAGGAAGAAGAUAGAAAGAACCUUUGUCUUAUGGAUUCUCUCCUCCGAGUGAAGGCAGACAUUAAAGAAAAAGAAAAAAGAAAGAGAAACUACAGUGUGUAUUAGUGCCAAGAAGAACAAGGCAGGAAAGGAGGCAUACAACAGGUUCAGUAUGGAAUGCUUAAAAUUUACAAGGUCGUGUCACCGAAGGUGAUUUCUGCAGAGGUGCUGAGGGAACACCACAUACAAAUGCCUUAGAACCUGAAGCUUAUGAAGAACAGCAAUUGGACAGUAUGGGACCAAAUGAGCAAGACAGGAGGGCAGACACCAGGGAGACAGGCCCAGGGCCUUGGAGACUGUUUUAAGAAGUAUGUGGUUCAUACUGAAUGAGAUGAGAGUUUAUUAGGAAGGUUUAAGCAGAUUUUUGAUUUGACCCAAGAUGUAUUUUUAAACUGUU